UUAGAGUUUGAUCCUGGCUCAGGAUGAACGCUAGCUACAGGCUUAACACAUGCAAGUCGAGGGGAAACGAUAUUGGAAGCUUGCUUCCGAUAGGCGUCGACCGGCGCACGGGUGAGUAACGCGUAUCCAACCUGCCCAUCACUUGGGGAUAACCUUGCGAAAGUAAGACUAAUACCCAAUGAUAUCUCUAGAAGACAUCUGAAGGAGAUUAAAGAUUCAUCGGUGAUGGAUGGGGAUGCGUCUGAUUAGCUUGUUGGCGGGGUAACGGCCCACCAAGGCGACGAUCAGUAGGGGUUCUGAGAGGAAGGUCCCCCACAUUGGAACUGAGACACGGUCCAAACUCCUACGGGAGGCAGCAGUGAGGAAUAUUGGUCAAUGGGCGAGAGCCUGAACCAGCCAAGUAGCGUGCAGGAUGACGGCCCUAUGGGUUGUAAACUGCUUUUAUAAGGGAAUAAAGUGAGCCUCGUGAGGCUUUUUGUAUGUACCUUAUGAAUAAGGACCGGCUAAUUCCGUGCCAGCAGCCGCGGUAAUACGGAAGGUCCGGGCGUUAUCCGGAUUUAUUGGGUUUAAAGGGAGCGUAGGCCGGAGAUUAAGCGUGUUGUGAAAUGUAGAUGCUCAACAUCUGCACUGCAGCGCGAACUGGUUUCCUUGAGUACGCACAAAGUGGGCGGAAUUCGUGGUGUAGCGGUGAAAUGCUUAGAUAUCACGAAGAACUCCGAUUGCGAAGGCAGCUCACUGGAGCGCAACUGACGCUGAAGCUCGAAAGUGCGGGUAUCGAACAGGAUUAGAUACCCUGGUAGUCCGCACGGUAAACGAUGGAUGCCCGCUGUUGGUCUGAAUAGGUCAGCGGCCAAGCGAAAGCAUUAAGCAUCCCACCUGGGGAGUACGCCGGCAACGGUGAAA
rnacentral:rRNA from 1 species